rnacentral:rRNA from 1 species
GAGUUUGAUCGUGGCUCAGGAUGAACGCUGGCGGCGUGCCUAACACAUGCAAGUCGAACGGGGUUCUUAAGGAAUGCGGCUUCGGCCAAAUGACUUUUGAACUUAGUGGCGGACGGGUGAGUAACGCGUGAGCAACCUGCCUUUCAGAGGGGGAUAACAUUUGGAAACAGAUGCUAAUACCGCAUAAGAUUACAGUACCGCAUGAUACAGUGAUCAAAGGAGCAAUCCGCUGAAAGAUGGGCUCGCGUCCGAUUAGAUAGUUGGUGAGGUAACGGCUCGCCAAGUCGACGAUCGGUAGCCGGACUGAGAGGUUGAACGGCCACAUUGGGACUGAGACACGGCCCAGACUCCUACGGGAGGCAGCAGUGGGGAAUAUUGCACAAUGGGCGAAAGCCUGAUGCAGCAACGCCGCGUGAGGGAAGACGGUUUUCGGAUUGUAAACCUCUGUUUCGGUGACGAACAAAUGACGGUAACCGAGUAGGAAGCCACGGCUAACUACGUGCCAGCCGCCGCA